UACGUAGGUGCGAGCGUUAUCGGAUUACUGGGCGUAAAGCGUGCGCAGGCGGUUAUGUAAGACAGGUGUGAAAUCCCCGGGCUUAACCUGGGAACUGCAUUUGUGACUGCAUAGCUAGAGUACGGUAGAGGGGGAUGGAAUUCCGCGUGUAGCAGUGAAAUGCGUAGAUAUGCGGAGGAACACCGAUGGCGAAGGCAAUCCCCUGGACCUGUACUGAUGCUCAUGCACGAAAGCGUGGGGAGCAAACAGG
rnacentral:rRNA from 1 species